CACGUAGGCGGAUAUUUAAGUCAGGGGUGAAAUCCCAGAGCUCAACUCUGGAACUGCCUUUGAUACUGGGUAUCUUGAGUAUGGAAGAGGUAAGUGGAAUUCCGAGUGUAGAGGUAAAAUUCGUAGAUAUUCGGAGGAACACCAGUGGCGAAGGCGGCUUACUGGUCCAUUACUGACGCUGAGGUGCGAAAGCGUGGGGAGCAAACA
rnacentral:rRNA from 1 species